rnacentral:rRNA from 1 species
UAAUACGGAGGGUGCAAGCGUUAUCCGGAAUCACUGGGUUUAAAGGGUGCGUAGGUGGCUUGAUAAGUCAGGGGUGAAAGCCCACCGCUCAACGGUGGAAUUGCCUUUGAUACUGUCGGGCUUGAAUAAGGUUGAGGUCGGCGGAAUGUGUCAUGUAGCGGUGAAAUGCAUAGAUAUGACAUAGAACACCAAUUGCGAAGGCAGCUGGCUAGACCUUUAUUGACACUGAGGCACGAAAGCGUGGGGAGCGAACAGGAUUAGAUACCCUGGUAGUCCACGCCCUAAACGAUGCUAACUCGAUGUGUGGUCCUUAGGAUUGCGCAUCCAAGCGAAAGCGUUAAGUUAGCCACCUGGGGAGUACGUCGGCAACGAUGAAACUCAAAUGAAUUGACGG